UACGUAGGGUGCGAGCGUUGUCCGGAUUUAUUGGGCGUAAAGAGCUCGUAGGCGGCUCGUUGCGUCGGCUGUGAAAACCCGCAGCUCAACUGUGGGCUUGCAGCCGAUACGGGCGGGCUAGGAUUCGGUAGGGGAGACUGGAAUUCCUGGUGUAGCGGUGAAAUGCGCAGAUAUCAGGAGGAACACCGGUGGCGAAGGCGGUUCUCUGGGCCUGUACUGACGCUGAGGAACGAAAGCGUGGGGAGCGAACAGG
rnacentral:rRNA from 1 species